rnacentral:rRNA from 1 species
AAUCAACGCUGGAGGCGUGCCUCAGACAUGCAAGUCGUACGAUUAAAGCUCUCUUCGGAGAGUGUAUAGAGUGGCGCACGGGUGAGUAACACGUAAGUAAUCUACCUUCGAGUGGGGAAUAACAGUCGGAAACGACUGCUAAUACCGCAUAAUGCAGCGGCACCUAAUGGUGACAGUUGUUAAAGCAUUUAUGUGCUUGAAGAGGAGCUUGCGGCAGAUUAGCUAGUUGGUAAGGCAAUGGCUUACCAAGGCGACGAUCUGUAGCCGACCUGAGAGGGUGGUCGGUCACACUGACAC